GGAGCAGUAGCCCAGUGGCAAGGCGCCAGGUCCAGAGUUGCGUCCGGGAGCGUCACGCGACGGCUGCGGUGUGUACUCUCAGGGCACGCUCUUGGAAACGCACUGCUGGGACACCUGGAAAUCGAGGGUUCGACUCCCUCCUACUCUA
rfam:Rachicladosporium antarcticum strain CCFEE 5527 scaffold_57, whole genome shotgun sequence.